UACGUAGGGUGCGAGCGUUGUCCGGAAUUAUUGGGCGUAAAGAGCUUGUAGGCGGUUUGUCGCGUCUGCCGUGAAAAUCCGGGGCUCAACCCCGGACUUGCGGUGGGUACGGGCAGACUAGAGUGUGGUAGGGGAGACUGGAAUUCCUGGUGUAGCGGUGAAAUGCGCAGAUAUCAGGAGGAACACCGAUGGCGAAGGCAGGUCUCUGGGCCACUACUGACGCUGAGAAGCGAAAGCGUGGGGAGCGUACAGG
rnacentral:rRNA from 1 species